ACAGAGGUCCCAAGCGUUGUUCGGAUUCACUGGGCGUAAAGGGCGCGUAGGCGGCUUUUCAAGUGACGGGUGAAAUCCCUCGGCUUAACCGAGGAACUGCCUGUCAGACUGGAAGGCUUGAGACCGGGAGAGGUGAGUGGAAUUCCCAGUGUAGCGGUGAAAUGCGUAGAUAUUGGGAGGAACACCAGUGGCGAAGGCGGCUCACUGGACCGGUACUGACGCUGAGGCGCGAAAGCGUGGGGAGCAAACAGUA
rnacentral:rRNA from 1 species